rnacentral:tRNA from 1 species
UUUAAAGUAGUUUAUAAUAAAAUAUUAAUUUGUGGUGUUAAAGAAGUUUUUAUUAAAUCUUAAGU